CUACGGAGGAUCCGAGCGUUAUCCGGAUUUAUUGGGUUUAAAGCGUGCGCAGGCGGUUGUGCAAGUCUGAUGUGAAAGCCCCGGGCUUAACCUGGGAACGGCCUUGGAGACUGCACGACUAGAGUACGUCAGAGGGGGGGAGAAUUCCACGUGUAGCAGUGAAAUGCGUAGAGAUGUGGAGGAAUACCGAUGGCGAAGGCAGCCCCCUGGGAUGAUACUGACGCUCAUGCACGAAAGCGUGGGGAGCAAACAGGAUUAGAUACCCUGGUAGUCCACGCCCUAAACGAUGUCAAUUAGCUGUUGGGGGUUUGAAUCCUUGGUAGCGUAGCUAACGCGUGAAAUUGACCGCCUGGGGAGUACGGCCGCAAGGUUAA
rnacentral:rRNA from 1 species